rnacentral:rRNA from 1 species
UGAGAUGUUGGGUUAAGUCCCGCAACGAGCGCAACCCACGUAUUUAGUUGCUAACGGUUCGGCCGAGCACUCUAAAUAGACUGCCUUCGUAAGGAGGAGGAAGGUGUGGACGACGUCAAGUCAUCAUGGCCCUUAUGCCCAGGGCGACACACGUGCUACAAUGGCAUAUACAAUGAGACGCAAUACCGCGAGGUGGAGCAAAUCUAUAAAAUAUGUCCCAGUUCGGAUUGUUCUCUGCAACUCGAGAGCAUGAAGCCGGAAUCGCUAGUAAUCGUAGAUCAGCCAUGCUACGGUGAAUACGUUCCCGGGUCUUGUACUCACCGCCCGUCACACCAUGGGAGUUGAUUUCACUCGAAGCCGGAAUACUAAACUAGUUACCGUCCACAGUGGAAUCAGCGACUGGGGUGAAGUCGUAACAAGGUAACCGUAGGAGAACCUGCGGUUGGAUCACCUCCUUUCUAG